rnacentral:rRNA from 1 species
GACGAACGCUGGCGGCGUGCCUAACACAUGCAAGUCGAACGGGGUAAUUACUUCGGUGAUUACUUAGUGGCGAACGGGUGAGUAACGCGUGAGAAACCUGCCUUUCAGUGGGGGACAACAGUUGGAAACGACUGCUAAUACCGCAUAAUGUUAUUUGGGGGCAUCCCCGAAUAACCAAAGCUUUAUGUGCUGAAAGAUGGUCUCGCGUCUGAUUAGCUAGAUGGCGGGGUAACGGCCCACCAUGGCGACGAUCAGUAGCCGGCCUGAGAGGGUGAACGGCCACAUUGGGACUGAGACACGGCCCAAACUCCUACGGGAGGCAGCAGUGGGGAAUAUUGCACAAUGGGGGAAACCCUGAUGCAGCGACGCCGCGUGAGUGAAGAAGGCCUUCGGGUUGGUAAACUUCUUUUACCAGGGACGAAGAAAGUGACGGUACCUGGAGAAAAAGACAACGGCUAACUACGUG